UGAAGGCAGAGGGGCUGUGUUUUCUGAUCUCCUUUCUUGGACACUUUGAGGAAGAUGAGAAGGUUGAAAAUGUCCAGGAGGGUGUGAAUCUUAAUUUUGUUUUCAAAAUAAAUGCAACUAAAAGUGUAUCCUAAACUUCCCAAAAGACCUUGAUGUCUACACUACAGGAGCAACAGGAGUUUCAUUAAGAUAAUCUUUAUUGGGAAAGACGACUCCAGAGGGAGAAGAGCCACCUUAGUCUGACAUCACCACAUGGCAGAGGGUAAAGAAAACGGGAAGCUCAGCCACAUGUUACCUUGACUUCCAGCAAAUGAAAUCAUUCACCAAAAUCCACUCUCAUCCAUACCCACUCAGGAGCAGCAAACAACCAGAAGAAUACUCUCAUCCAUACCCACUCAGGAGCAGCAGACAACCAGAAGAACACUCUCAUCCAUACCCACUCAGGAGCAGCAAACAACCAGAAGAACACUCUCAUCCAUACCCACUCAGCAGCAGCAAACAACCAGAAGAACACUAGCAAACAUGAAGCUGGUGUUUUUUUUUUUUCCUUUAUACCUUUAUAAAGAAUUCCUCCUGAAAAUAUUUAAUGAUGCUGCAUUAAAAAUGAAGCUGGUGUGAAGUGAAGGGGUUAAAGCCCGUUAGCUAAAACUUCCUUAAAGUCUCUUACUAGUGAUGUCCACACUGUUUCCCAAGACAGACACCGCAGAAAGCUGCAGUUUUCAUUUAGAAAAAAGCAAAGCGCCAAACCUCCCACCUUGUUGAAAAUGUAGACACACAUCCGGUCACUGUGUAACUGAAUUUUGCACAUUUUGGAAUACAACUUGAGCCUGACAUUUCAAAAAUAAACUUGUAGGUUUCCAUUAAAUACAUAUUAGUACCAAAUGAAACCAAGAAACAUCAUUUAUCUUGAUUUAAAACUCAUC